rnacentral:lncRNA from 1 species
UGGCCUACACAAGGUCAUCAUGAAAGGGAAUUGAUAGGAAUAAUAUGCACAUUGUCCAAUAAGAGAUAAACCAUGAUAUNNNNNNNNNNNNNNNNNNNNGACUUCAGUAUUUCCUCCCAGUAAUUGGGUCUGCACAAUCUCUGAGUCUGCACAUGUCUCUUGAGGGACAAACGCCAUCCCACAAUGUGGACUGAACAACAGCAGAAUGUAGUUAGGAGGUUGCGUCCUACCAGUGACCUGAUCAUUGCUGGCUGCAAUGCCUUUGCAAGAAAAUGUGAUGCUUCUCAACCUAGCAUAUGUGAAAUGUUGAUGUGGCCCUUUGAAUGGGUUUUAAAGCAGCAGAUGACAAAAAGAACUUUGGAAAGGCUUUUGACAUCAAGAAAGUAUGACUCAUAAGCUUGGGAGAGGAGAAGGUCAAAGCAAUUACAAAAGAUACUUCAAAGCAAUAGCCAAAUAGCCAUAGCUGGGCAAUAUGCCAUCCUCCAACCCAACAAGCCAGUACCUCUGAACUGUCUAAUCUGGAUUUGGCCAUGGUAACCACCAGGCUGAUUAUUGUAACAUACUACAUCUAGGAAUCAAAUUGCUGACCUUAAAAAGGCUACAACUGGUUCAGAAUGCAGAGACCUUUCUGCCGAGCAACUGAGACCUCCGAGAGCACAUCAACUCAGCUGUCCCACUGGACCAGUUUCAAAGUUUGGUCCUCAUCUUCAAAGUCCUAUGUGGGAUUGGCCCAGUUUACCCAAGGAACCUCUCCACCCUAUGUGAUCAUGAUGACUUCCCACAGCAGAACUGUGCCACUGGAAUAAUAGAACUGUCAGCUUCAAGAGUCACCCACCUGCUCACAGGACACACAGCUUUCUCAGGGACUGGCCCAUGACUCCUGAGCUCAUUUCCAGAUGAGAUCAGAAUGACAUCAAACUUCAGCAUCUUCAUAGUACAAAUAAAAAUGCACAUCUUUGACCUAGCUCUUUUACA